rnacentral:lncRNA from 1 species
GGGCGAUUGGGUUAUGGGCUUCAGCAAAAGCUACACCCAUGCAACCAAUAACCUCAUGGAGCUGAUGUCAAGGAGGGCCUGAAUCUAGCUCUACAACACAAUUUCAAACCAUAGAAGUCUGUGUUGAUUCAAUGAAAGUCAUAAAUAUGUUGCGUCAUGGUAAUUUUCUCUAUGAUUCAAUUAUUAAUGCAUGCAGGUCCUUACUAGAGAGACUGGAGAGUCCUCCAAUCCAC